AUAAUGAUACUCCUGUACUGCAGUUGUGUGAGAUACCACACGAUGGUGAAAUUCCAGUGA
ncrna:unclassified sequences pemK RNA